rnacentral:rRNA from 1 species
GACGAACGCUGGCGGCGUGCUUAACACAUGCAAGUCGAACGGUAAGGCCCUUCGGGGUACACGAGUGGCGAACGGGUGAGUAACACGUGGGUGAUCUGCCCUGCACUUCGGGAUAAGCCUGGGAAACUGGGUCUAAUACCGGAGAGGACCACUGCCUGCAUGGGUGGUGGUGGCAAGCUUUUGCGGUGUGGGAUGGGCCCGCGGCCUAUCAGCUUGUUGGUGGGGUGAGGGCCUACCAAGGGGACGACGGGUAGCCGGCCGGAGAGGGUGACCGGCCACACUGGGCCUGAGAUACGGCCCAGACUCCUACGGGAGGCGGCAGUGGGGAAUAUUGAACAAUGGGGGCAAGCCUGAUGCAGCGACGCCGCGUGAGGGAUGACGGCCUUCGGGUUGUAAACCUCUUUCAGCACCGACGAAGCGCAAGUGACGGUAGGUGCAGAAGAAGGACCGGCCAACUACGUGCCAGCCGCCGCGGUAA